rnacentral:rRNA from 1 species
UACGAAGGGGGCUAGCGUUGAUCGGAAUCACUGGGCGUAAAGCGCACGUAGGCGGAUCUUUAAGUCAGGGGUGAAAUCCUGGAGCUCAACUCCAGAACUGCCUUUGAUACUGGGGAUCUCGAGUCCGGGAGAGGUGAGUGGAACUGCGAGUGUAGAGGUGAAAUUCGUAGAUAUUCGCAAGAACACCAGUGGCGAAGGCGGCUCACUGGCCCGGUACUGACGCUGAGGUGCGAAAGCGUGGGGAGCAAACAGG